rnacentral:rRNA from 1 species
UACGAAGGGGGCUAGCGUUGCUCGGAAUCACUGGGCGUAAAGGGUGCGUAGGCGGUUGUUUAAGUCUGUCGUGAAAUCCCCGGGCUCAACCUGGGAAUGGCGAUGGAUACUGGGCAGCUAGAGUGUGUCAGAGGAUGGUGGAAUUCCCGGUGUAGCGGUGAAAUGCGUAGAGAUCGGGAGGAACAUCAGUGGCGAAGGCGGCCAUCUGGGACAACACUGACGCUGAAGCACGAAAGCGUGGGGAGCAAACAGG